UACGUAGGGCGCAAGCGUUGUCCGGAAUUAUUGGGCGUAAAGAGCUCGUAGGUGGUUUGUCGCGUCUGCUGUGAAAACGCGAGGCUUAACCUCGCGCCUGCAGUGGGUACGGGCAGACUAGAGUGCGGUAGGGGAGACUGGAAUUCCUGGUGUAGCGGUGGAAUGCGCAGAUAUCAGGAGGAACACCGGUGGCGAAGGCGGGUCUCUGGGCCGUUACUGACGCUGAGGAGCGAAAGCAUGGGGAGCGAACAGG
rnacentral:rRNA from 1 species